AAUAUUAUCACACUGUCGGGUUAACGUUAUCGGCGUAAGUAAACUCAAGUGAUUCUAGUCUAUGGCAUGUAUAGGGUUUUAAUGUGAGUAUGUAAUAUUAUGAUUUAGCCAAAGGCAUUGUCUUGUUAUUAAGGUAGUAUUAGUCAUGUAAAUUGGCCUAUGUCGGCUAAUAUCGUUAUGGGCCCAUAUGAUUAUUCUUAUGCAUGUAUGUUAUUAUCUCUUGUGAUGUGGCUUACAACAUGUAUGCCUAGAGAUUGAAUUGAGAUUCAUUGAUGAGCUAAUAACUAAUGUAGGAUUAAGUGAUUGGUAAAUAGUUAAUAA